GGAGGUGAUGGCUGGAGUUCCAACAGGCACUUGGAUCGUGAGAUAACCUCAGAAAGCUGUUUCCCGAGGGUGCUGAACUGGCAGGAAAGAAACCUUGGUCCUCGAUGAUAUUGUGAAGACACCAUAUUAGCAUGGAUGGCCUAUUUCUGAAUUUCUUUCAGGCCUGCUUCUCUUUACCUUCUGCCAUGAGUGGAAGUGGCCUGAGGCCCUCACCUGAAGCCAAGCAGAUGACAGCACCAGGCUUCUUGUAUAGCCUGCAGAACCGUUUGCAAAUGAAAUUCAAAAAAUCGGCAGUGACUCUUCUUGGACCAGGUGGAGAGCAGGAAGAAGGCCGGCAGCAGGUGUGGCUCGGGCAGAUUGGAGAGGCACAAUGGGGCACGUUUGCUAGACAAAUAGAGAGACAGGCACAAAGAGCUUAAGUGACUACCCUAAAGUUGCUCAGCUAUUAAAUGUGGAGCCAGGACUAAAUCCCAGCAGUUUGGCUCUGGGGUCUGGGUUCUAAAAUUGUCUCAAUUCAGCCUCUCCAGCUGCCAAGUGUGAGACCUAGACAAGGGCUUUGAGUUUGACUGUAGGAGCCAUCCCAGGCUUAUAACCCACACCAUGGAUAACUUAUUGGACUUUGCCUGAAAGGAGUCAUUAGUGACAUUGGAUAUUUGACCGUCUUGGCCACAGGUUUUUCAGAAUGAAUGGAAGAUCAUGCAGCAUGAGUCUCCACCGGACAUCGGGAACCCCACAGGGGCCUAGGAUGGUCAGUGGUCAUCACAUUCCUGCCAUCCGAGCCCACUCCGGGACUCCUGGCCCCUCGCCCUGUGGCAGCACAUCGAGUCCCACUAUGGCAAGCCUUGCUAACAACCUCCAUCUCAAGAUGCCCUCAGGAGGAGGGAUGGCUCCUCAGAACAACGUGGCUGAGAGCCGCAUCCAUCUGCCUGCCUUAAGCCCCAGGAGACAAAUGCUCACCAAUGGGAAGCCGCGAUUCCAGGUCACCCAGGCUGGAGGCAUGUCAGGGUCACAUACUUUAAAGCCAAAGCAGCAGGAGUUUGGAAGCCCUUUUCCUCCAAAUCCUGGGAAAGGUAGGAUUGUCUUUCUGGAACCUUUUAAAAAUGGAAACGAUUUUUUUCUCCCCCAUCCCAUUUUCUGCCAGCAAAUCCUAUGGAAAAAUACAUGAUUCAGUGUCAGGGUCAAAGAUGAUGGUCUCAUAAUGAUAUAUAGCUUGCUCAGUAAGGGAAUGGGUGUGUAUGUGUUGGAGGGGACCACAGUGGUAAAUGCUGAGUAUGAGACAUCUCCUGGGACUGUGAAACAGAGUAACAGUAAGAUAGAAAGAUAAAAAAUAGGGAGGCAGGCUGAGUGGUUGUGGUGGAAGGGUAAGAGCUAGGUUAGCAAGAUCAUGCCCUCCGGAUACAGGUAGCGCUGCCCUGUUUCCCUGGGGGCUGAAUUCUCCAGGCCAUGGACAAGAAGACCGACUGGAACUGUCCUUAUGCCAGUGCUAAAAGUAUAGUGUAGAAGAAAGGUGGUGUUUGGAAGGAAAAGAAUAAAAAAGGGAAAUUUUAAUAACCAAUAAAAUGAGGAAUC
rnacentral:lncRNA from 1 species